CGGAUUAGAUUUAGAGUUAAAAUUUUCAUUUACAUUGGAAUUAAUUAUUGUGCAAUAUCAAUAUAAUCUGA
rnacentral:tRNA from 1 species